AUGUUGAAAAUGUCUGUGAAGACAUCAGUGAGUUCUGCUGCACAGUCUCUCAGUACACGCCCAGGAAUGUUGUCAGGACCCGGAGCUUUGCGUGCAUUGAUCCUGCUGAAGGAUCUCCUCACGCUGUCUGGGGUCAGCAUCAUCACCUGGUCACUGGGAGGAGGUGGAGAGGAGGAGACAAGAAGAGGGGGGAGUUCAGAUUUGGGCUGGGCUUUGCUAGCUUCUUCCCAUGAACCUCAUGUACAUGGUACACCAAAGACAGCGCGCUCACACACACUGCGAAACACAGACCCAUCAAAACCAAUUACGGGUGACUGGGGCGUCCAAAGAGAGCAUGGACAUAGGAUGAAAUUGGGGUCACAGAGAGAGUUUAGGGAGGCUGUUCCUGGAACCAAUAGGUUACAGAGCACCUCCUGUAGCCUUUUGUCUUCAUAAAUCCAUGGUUGUCUUUAAGACGCCUUUCCACUAAGAACAAAUGUGUCAUGAAGAAUCAAUGCUAGACUAAAGAAAAUUGAGGUAGAUGGAUUUAACAGCAUCUUGAAACAUAUAAUUGUUCAGUUUAUGUUCUAUGCUUCUAUGUUCUGAUCAUCAUAAACUGGAUUUAUUUUGCAAUAAAAAGCAGCUAACUAUACAUUGCAACUUACCAAAAAAAUAAAUAAAUAAAUGGGCAUGAAAUAUUUAUUUCAGUCAACAGGAAAAAAAAAAUAGUCAAAAUGAUGUGUGAAGAAAGUGAAAACAAUAGCACAAUAAUUGUUCAAGCUCCGCCCAUAGUAGUUAGUGUUGCUAACUUAUACCAGUUUGUGCAACAUUCAAAAUUCAUUGAGAAUGACUUUCAAAUUUGAACCGGGUACACAAACAGAAUACAGAAUUUCAAUUCAAUUUAAAUUAAACUGAAAUUCAAAGAAAUUCAUAUGACUGUAACAGUUGAUAAUGUAUAGAGAAUGUAUUUAGUUUAUAUACUUUGUAACAGAUAAAAUCUCUAAAUAAUAAUACAUACACACACACACACACACACACACACAUGCAUUAUCAUUAUAGUUCAAUUUCAUAUAUUUUAAUAUGCAUAAUUAUUACCAUUGUAAUUCACUUUCUCUGAAUUACAAAUCCUCUGUCAAUCCAAUCCAAAUUCCAACUUCAGCUUCCCAAUUCCAAAAUCUAAUUCCAACUUCCUGUGUCAAAUGUCCAGGACUCAUUAAUUGAAAGGAAGUCAAUUCUUUAAUUCUGAAUAACCAUUACAAAACACAACAGAAUGCUGCCACUGUCCAAUCGGAAUCAAGUAUUCCAGAGAGCCACAUAAUGAAGUGAGAUCUCAUGAGGUAUUAAAAGAUAACACAGACCGACUGAGGUGAGAUAUGAAAGGAACUCUUAAAGGAAACUGACGCUUUACCACUUUUAACAUCUGAAAAAGACUUGACCUUCCUCAUGAACCCUAACAUGGUCAAAGCCAAAGGGCUUCUUAAAGGGCAAGAGGUAUUGACACAUCAACCACUUCAACACCUUCACAAAGAUAUUCAUAGAUGUCUUUAACAAAAACAAAACAAAACAAAAAAUGAUCAUCUUAUUAAUGAAUUGCAAGAUGCAUUUUGUCAUCAUUUUGCAGCACAGGAAACAGGCCUUAUUAGGUAAUGUGGAAAUGUUAUAAACAAUACUAACAUGAAACAAUGCAUGGAUUAAAUACCUCACUUCCUUCUCACCAGCAUCCUUUUCAGCACAGAACAAAUAAAACAAAACAAAAAUAUUUGUAGCUGCACACUGAAUAAUAAAUUCAAAGCGCUUUGAGAUGGAGCCAGAUUCACAUGACCUGUACUGUGUUGGUUUGCCAAGGAGGCACAGAGUUCAUUCGCUGUACGGCGCCAUCUAUCAAUCAGCUGAGGAACACAAUGGCCUGUUUCUCAGAACUUCCUCAACAGGAAUAACAUGCUUGGAAUUACUGGCAACAAACAGCUUUUUUCCAAAUUACAGAGUGUUUUGUUCAUGUGAUGAUCACAGAAUGAUUAUAGUACUUGUCGUUCAAAGAGUUAUCCACCGGCUUAUGAUGACUAACUACAGCGGUCAUGUGGGCUAAACAUCAUACUGCAUCACCGAUGGCUGCUUGAAGAUCCAUGGAGAUAAUGCUAUAAAGCAGUGUUGCAGGCAGCAGGGGAAAUAAUACUAAAUUGGAAUCCUAAAAAAAAAACAUUUAACAUUGUAACAUUUAACAAAAAUUAAGAGAUUUCAUUUAACAUCACUGUUAAAUGUCUUAAACUUAGUGUUAGAUGAUGAUGAAAGUUAAUGUAAAUAAAAAAGCACAAUUAAAUUUAACUGGUAUAUACACUACUGUUCAAAAUUUCAAAAAUGAAUACUUUUAUUCAGCAAGGAUCCAUUCAAUUGAUCAAAAGUGACAGUAAAGAUGUGUAAAUUGUUACAUUAAAAUUCUAUUUUAAAUAAACGCUGUUCCUUUUAACUGUUCCUAUAGUUAUCAUUUUAACUGUUCCUAUAGUUAUCAAAGUGAUUUUAAAGACAUGUCUUCAAUUUUGUACAAUAAACAAUUCUAUUAAUCAUUGAUUUCAAAUGUAAAAUCUACAUCCUGAAGCAAAACCAGUUGAGAAUCACUGCUCUAACAUCCUUGAAGUGAUUAUAAAAUGCUUGAAUGGUGAUGGAUACUAUUUCCAAAUAUAACACAUUGAUGCAGUUACUCUGCCCUCUUAAACGUGUGUGUGUGGGAGUGGAAGGCAGGGUUAGGUAAGGUGAUGGUGGUAGUUUUGAUGUAUUAUAUGCCAGAAUGCUCUGUCUGUUCCAGCACAGCGCAGGGUUUGGGUGGCAGCCAGACUCUUCUGUUACCAUGAGAACCAUUUACUCCAGUCUGGCAUCACAAGAGCAUUUCAGCCCUUUGCUACAGGAUGAACCAGUCAAUACAAAAUAAAUAAAUAAUCAAAUAAAUACAACAUGCCUGACAAAAGCGGACAGCAAGGUGUAUAAAUAGUGAAUUCCCCAAAUAUAUUCAAUGGUCCAUCAUCCCAGAUGGCCAAAAUCCCUAUAAAUUCCACAAAAGAAAACGCUGUCAAGUAGUUCUCGGAACAAAACACAGUCAUACUCUGUUGGACAGGAAGGAGAAUUCCCGGGUAAUUCCACAGAAUCUGUGUGUCAGCAGAGGGAUAUUACACUCUUUAAAAACAACAGGGGCCACGGGCAAUGAUGUACAGCAGAGUGAGGGAGGGUGGACAUAAACAUUACUAGAAAAAUAUGAAAUAUUCGGGAAAGGUCACCGACAUUGAACGGAAAGUCCAUGCACUCAUGAGGCUUGAAAUUUGAUGAGUAAUAAUUUGACUAAGGAAAUUGUUAGAGCCAGGAUUGUUGUAUAAAUAUAAGGGCCAAGUUUCUUAUUAUUAGUAUCACAAGAUGUGUUUUAGCUGUCAUAUAGCGCUCCCUGCUGGCAAUACCUGCUUCAGUUCAAAUGCAUCAUUCCCACAGGAAAGCUAAAGAGCUUAAUCACUGAAUUUAACUGAAAAUAAAUAAAUAAAUAAAUCUUCUUAAGUAGUUUUGUCUUGCAAUAUCCUAACAUCCUUUAAACAAGACACAGUAUAUUUACAUUAGUCUUGAUUUCAGAUAAAU
ensembl:lncRNA